GGUUUCAGGUCUAUGUUUACCUUCGCAAACCUCUGAAUAUGUUUAGAAAUGUUGGAAUAUAAUAUAUAUAUACAACUUUCAGCAACGGAUCUCUUGGCUCUCGCAUCGAUGAAGAACGCAGCGAAAUGCGAUAAGUAAUGUGAAUUGCAGAAUUCAGUGAAUCAUCGAAUCUUUGAACGCAUCUUGCGCUCCUUGGUAUUCCGAGGAGCAUGCCUGUUUGAGUGUCAUUAAUCUCUCAACCACACCAAUCUUUUUGGCUUGGUGUGGCUUUUGGAUGUGGGGGUUUUAUUUUGCUGGCUCCUAUCAAAUGAGGUCAGCUCCCCUGAAACUUAUUAGCGGUAUCUGAGCAGAGAGACCUACUACAGGUGUGAUAAAUUAUCUAUGCCUUGGUCAUACUGCAUGAACAGACUGUGCUGCUUCCAGUGAAUCAUUUGACAAUUUUGACCUCAAAUCAGGUAGGACUACCCGCUGAACUUAAGCAUAUCAAUAAGCGGAGGAAAAGAAACUAACAAGGAUUCCCCUAGUAACUGCGAGUGAAGCGGGAAAAGCUCAAAUUUGAAAUCUGGCAGUUCUUUUGACUGUCCGAGUUGUAAUCUAGAGAA
rnacentral:rRNA from 1 species